rnacentral:lncRNA from 1 species
UACAUUUUAUUUUAUUGAUUCCAUAGAACCAUUAAACAUAUUUAUGUCUCUGGCCAUAUAGGUCGAUGGCUCAUUUGGCUGUGAUGAAGAACCUGUAAAAUAAGUAGAAACUAGAGCAUCAGGGACAAUAACAUGAGCACCGAAACAAGUAGAGCAGCACUGCAACAUCGAUAUCUCCUCACUAUCUAUCUCUCCCACUCUGCAGCAGCAGCAUGAUCAAGCAACAGUCUAGUGUAGUCUCAGCCAAAUGUCAGCUCACCCUCUCUGCUCUCUCUCACCCUCAACACAAGACAAGCACAGACAUCACCUGGAAGAAGGGGAGAACCAACCUGUAGAGUAGAUCCUUUCCGGAGCGACGACGCGCCUGGUUCGAUUUGCACAAAGUAGAGAUCAAGUUAAUUAAGCAGGUUUGUCCUGCUUGCUCAAUGUCCUGAAAAGUAAUGUGCCUGAAAAACAACCGCACAUAUCAUGACUCCAAGAUGAUAUAUCCUGACCCGGACGUUGCAUAAGAAAAAGGAAAUGUAACGACCUUUUUUUCUUAGCUUAUGAGAGAAGACAGUUAUAAUAGUAGCAUUUAGGUUUCAUCAGUGUGGAGUCAAAAAAGCAGUCACAAGCACAUGACGACCCUACAUCAUAUUUCCACCAUUUUCUAAGAAAACAAUUUUCUACUGUUUUAUCAUUGGUUAUCCUCCGUGCAAUUUUACUAGUUUUCUUGGUCUGAAAGCCUUACCAUCAUUUUCUUCUUGCAGGCGGUAAUGGCAAGAGCAUAUUGUGCAGAGGAAGA